rnacentral:lncRNA from 1 species
CGGUAUCAUUGGCUGCGGGGCGCUGUUCCUGGGGCGGCUGCAUGCAAGUGGGGAGGAGCUACAUAGAAAGCGGUGUGAAUCCCACCAUCUCGAGCACGGCCUCCUCCUGGGCUUUUAAAUGGGCGAAAUAAAACGAAGGCCAGGCUAGGAGGAAAGCCAGCAUGAUGCUUUCCAAAUGGGAGUGUUUGGGGUUCACUCCGGAGACCGAGAGAGAGAGGCUACAUGUAUAGAGCUGAUAUCGCAGGGAUAAGCCUCUAAUCCUGGAAUGAAGGCAGAUUAAAAACGUCUGUUAUAGUUCUGGUAGAUGGUCCUUGGCAGACGUGCUGAUGUCUCUAGUUCCUGGAGGAAUCUGUCCAUCAGCCAGCAAGUGACUCAAAGAUCUCCACAGCAAGGCCAAGGUUAUGCUAACCAGUGCUGCAGCUGUAGUUCUGUGUGCAAGUGGUCCAGUCGCUCUCUGCCAGCCCUUCGCAGCCUUUUCUCCAGAACAUCCAUUCCCCACCCCUGGCUAAACCUCAUCACAGAGCACAUCUCACACCCUUUGGCUUAUCUUGACCUAGAAACUCCACGGAUAUUUUGUUCUAAAAGGAUGCUUGACAAAACCAGCUAUUCUUCACUGCAAACAACAUUAGGGCUUCUUUAAAUGUGUGAUAUUCAGACAGGAAGAAGAGUCUCAAAAAACACUUUCUAAUGUGGGUUUCAUACCCGUUCUCUGGCCUACACAGACUCUUUUGAAUUAAUGUCUUAAAAUAGGUUCAGCUCCUGAGGAUUUUUUUUUUUGGGGGUAAUGUACCCAGGAGUUGUAACGUAGACACAACUUGAUGUUCAAAGUACUGUUUGUGAGGGAGUCUAUUUUUAUAAGAUUAGGGCUUAUUUGAGGAUGAAUUAAAAAUAGCCUUGCAAGUUUCUCCGGGCUUUAUCUCUCAUGCCCAGUUGCACCAUAUGAGAUGGAGGAAAUUCCUGCAGGCUGCAAAUAAACCUAUAAUCAUUUAAUCUGUAACGGGUUACUGUGAAAUCCAAAGAGAAAACGUCUUUCGUAUAGUUGCACAGCACUUACAGUCACUCAGAAUUUCCAAGCCCUAGUGUAGAAUCAGAAAAUUUAAAAGGAAAGUAGAUCAGCGGCGUGCUGGCCUGGAAUAGUGCUUUGAGCCGCCGGG